rnacentral:tRNA from 1 species
ACUUAAAUAGCUUAUAUUUAGAGCAUAAUAUUGAAGAUAUUAGGGGGAUAAUUUUUAUCUUUAAGUA